CAGCAAGUCCAGCAGUCCCUCAGCAAGUCCAGAAAGUCCCUCAGCAAGUCCACCAAGUCCCUCAGCAAGUCCAGCAGUCCCUCAGCAAGUCCACCAAGUCCAGCAGUACCUCAGCAAGUCCACCAAGUCCAGCAGUCCCUCAGCAAGUCCAGCAAGUCCCUCAGCAAUCCAGCAGUCCCUCAGCAAAUCCACCAAGUCCAGCAGUCCCUCAGCAAAUCCACCAAGUCC